rnacentral:misc_RNA from 1 species
AAAGUCGUAACAAGGUUUCCGUAGGUGAACCUGCGGAAGGAUCAUUAUCACGUAUCCAAACGUAUAAACCAAUGUGCACCCCUACAUUCCUCCUUUUGGGUUUCAUGAAGUGGCAGAGAAGUUGAUAUUCUGAUUCAUGGUCUUUCAGAAUUUUUCUGUCUUGAUUCGCGAGAAUCAGCCUUCUAAUCCGGGAGUCGUAUCAAACCAUGCUUGUUUUUACUAUAACCAACUUGUACCUUUCUGAACUAACUUUGGUUGGAAACUUUCGCUCUCGCGAGAGAAAGUCCCAACCUUGAUUUAUAUAAACUCUGAACUACUCUUAACAACGGAUAUCUUGGUUCUC